UACGAAGGGGGCUAGCGUUGCUCGGAAUGACUGGGCGUAAAGGGCGCGUAGGCGGAUGGCACAGUCAGAUGUGAAAUUCCCGGGCUUAACCUGGGGGCUGCAUUUGAUACGUGUUGUCUUGAGUUCGGAAGAGGGUCGUGGAAUUCCCAGUGUAGAGGUGAAAUUCGUAGAUAUUGGGAAGAACACCGGUGGCGAAGGCGGCUCUCUGGGACGGUACUGACGCUGAGACGCGAAAGCGUGGGGAGCGAACAGG
rnacentral:rRNA from 1 species